GGAGAAUCCGAGAAGACCAUCAAAAGGCCCUUUGCUUGUUAUAUACUCACACAAGUACGUAAUGCAUUCUUCUAAGUUCUCAUAUUCUGUGAAAUCCUCAUUAUACUGGAACCACUCAAAAUAUGGUGGUGGAAAUAUCCCCUCAAUAUCUGAUUUACCCUUUGCUGCAAAUAUUCCAUCUGGAAAAUCCAUUUCAGAAUUAGCAAAAAUAGAAGGAUCCCAUUUGCUUAAUUGUUUUUUUAAGAAAUUUCCACUAGUUCUAAAUCCAUGCAAACAAAGAAUCUUCAUCUUUUUUUCUUCUAUUAUCU
rnacentral:misc_RNA from 1 species